GAGACGUGCGGCGAACGCCUGAUGCAGCCAUGCCGCGUGUGUGAAGAAGGCCUUCGGGUUGUAAAGCUCUUUUGUCCGGGAAGAAAUGGCUCUGGUUAAUACCUGGGGUUGAUGACGGUACCGGAAGAAUAAGGCCCGGCUAAUUACGUGCCAGCAGCCGCGGUAAUACUUAUGGUCCAAGCGUUAUUCGGAAUUACUGGGCGUAAAGCGUGCGCAGGCGGUUGUGUAAGUCCGAUGUGAAAUCCCCGAGCUUAACUUGGGAAUUGCAUUGGUGACUGCACGUCGGAUAGAGUGUGUCAGAGGGGGGUAGAAUUCCGCGUGUAGCAGUGAAAUGGGUAGAGAUGUGGAGGAAUCCCGAUGGCGAAGGCAGCCCCCUGGGAUAACACUGACGCUCAUGCACGAAAGCGUGGGGAGCAAACAGGAUUAGAUACCCUGGUAGUCCCCGCCCUAAACGAUGUCAACUAGUUGUUGGGGAUUCAUUUCCUUAGUAACGUAGCUAACGCGUGAAGUUGUCCGC
rnacentral:rRNA from 1 species